GGCAAAGUUAAUAAGGGCGCACGGUGGAUGCCUUGGCAUUAAGAGCCGAAGAAGGACGUGACUAACGACGAUAUUCUAGGGGGAGCAGUAAGUACGCAUUGAUCCCUAGGUCUCCGAAUGGGGAAACCCACUAUGUUAUGCAUAGUAUCCGUAAGUGAAUACAUAGCUUACGCGAAGGUAACGCAGAGAACUGAAACAUCUAAGUACCUGCAGGAAGAGAAAGUAAAAACGAUUUCCUAAGUAGCGGCGAGCGAACGGGAAACAGGCCAAACCAAGAAGCUUGCUUCUUGGGGUUGUAGGACUGCAACGUGGACUUAAAGUCUAUAGAAGAAUUACCUGGGAAGGUAAGCCAAAGAGAGUAAUAGCCUCGUAUUUGAAAUAGACUUUAUACCUAGCAGUAUCCUGAGUAGGGCUGGACACGCGAAAUCCAGUUUGAAUCCGGGAGGACCAUCUCCCAAGCCUAAAUACUCCUUAAUGACCGAUAGUGAACCAGUACCGUGAGGGAAAGGUGAAAAGAACCCCGGGAGGGGAGUGAAAUAGCACCUGAAACCGUGUGCCUACAAGAAGUUCGAGCCCGUCAAUGGGUGAGAGCGUGCCUUUUGUAGAAUGAACCGGCGAGUUACGUUAUGAUGCGAGGUUAAGCUGAAGAGGCGGAGCCGUAGCGAAAGCGAGUCUGAAUAGGGCGCUUUAGUAUCAUGAUGUAGACCCGAAACCUAGUGACCUAUCCAUGAGCAGGUUGAAGGUGCGGUAAGACGCACUGGAGGACCGAACCAGGACACGUUGAAAAGUGUUUGGAUGACUUGUGGAUAGCGGAGAAAUUCCAAACGAACUGGGAGAUAGCUGGUUCUCUCCGAAAUAGCUUUAGGGCUAGCGUCGCAAUUUAAGUGUAUUGGAGGUAGAGCACUGUUUGGAUGAGGGGCCCAUCUCGGGUUACCAAUUUCAGAUAAACUCCGAAUGCUAAUACACAUGUGCGGCAGUCAGACUGCGAGUGCUAAGAUCCGUAGUCGAAAGGGAAACAGCCCAGACCACCAGCUAAGGUCCCAAAAUAUAUGUUAAGUGGAAAAGGAUGUGGGGUUGCACAGACAACUAGGAUGUUAGCUCAGAAGCAGCUAUCAUUCAAAGAGUGCGUAAUAGCUCACUAGUCGAGUGACCCUGCGCCGAAAAUGUACCGGGGCUAAACAUAUUACCGAAGCUGUGGAUUUAAUAUUAAUUAAAUGGUAGGAGAGCGUUGUAAUCAGCGAUGAAGGUAUACCGUGAGGGUGCUGGAGCGAUUACAAGUGAGAAUGCCGGUAUGAGUAGCGCAAGAUAAGUGAGAAUCUUAUCCACCGUAAGACUAAGGUUUCCAGGGGAAGGCUCGUCCGCCCUGGGUUAGUCGGGACCUAAGGCGAGGCCGAAAGGCGUAGUCGAUGGACAACAGGUUGAUAUUCCUGUACUAGUAUUGUUAGUGAUGGAGGGACGCAGUAGGCUAAAGGGAGCCAGUUAAUGGAUUCUGGUCUAAGCAGUGAGGUGUGGAAUGUGUCAAAUGCAUUUUCCUUUAACAUUGAGCUGUGAUGGGGAAGCAACUACGGUUGCGAAGCCCUUGAUGUCACACUGCCAAGAAAAUCUUCUAGCGUUUAAUUCAAUACUACCCGUACCGCAAACCGACACAGGUAGUCGAGGCGAGUAGCCUCAGGUGAUCGAGAGAACUCUCGUUAAGGAACUCGGCAAAAUGACCCCGUAACUUCGGGAGAAGGGGUGCUGUAGAAAUACAGCCGCAGUGAAAAGAUCCAAGCAACUGUUUAUCAAAAACACAGCUCUCUGCUAAACCGCAAGGUGAUGUAUAGGGGUGACGCCUGCCCGGUGCUGGAAGGUUAAGAGGAGGGGUUAGACAUUAGUCGAAGCUCUGAAUUGAAGCCCCAGUAAACGGCGGCCGUAACUAUAACGGUCCUAAGGUAGCGAAAUUCCUUGUCGGGUAAGUUCCGACCCGCACGAAAGGCGUAAUGAUUUGGAUACUGUCUCAACGAGAGACUCGGUGAAAUUUUAGUACCUGUGAAGAUGCAGGUUACCCGCGACAGGACGGAAAGACCCCAUGGAGCUUUACUGCAGAUUGAUAUUGAGUACCUGUGAAGCAUGUACAGGAUAGGUAGGAGACUUUGACCUUGGGACGCUAGUUUCAAGUGAGUCGCUGUUGGGAUACUACCCUUGCUUCAUGGUUGCUCUAACCCACACGCAUAAUCGGCGUGGGAGACAGUGUCUGUCGGGCAGUUUGACUGGGGCGGUCGCCUCCUAAAGAGUAACGGAGGCGCCCAAAGGUUCCCUCAACAUGGUUGGAAAUCAUGUGUAGAGUGUAAAGGUAUAAGGGAGCUUGACUGCGAGAGCUACAACUCGAGCAGGUAGGAAACUAGGGCUUAGUGAUCCGGUGGUACCGCAUGGAAGGGCCAUCGCUCAACGGAUAAAAGCUACCCUGGGGAUAACAGGCUUAUCUCCCCAAGAGUUCACAUCGACGGGGAGGUUUGGCACCUCGAUGUCGGCUCGUCGCAUCCUGGGGCUGUAGUCGGUCCCAAGGGUUGGGCUGUUCGCCCAUUAAAGCGGCACGCGAGCUGGGUUCAGAACGUCGUGAGACAGUUCGGUCCCUAUCCGUCGCGGGCGUAGGAAAUUUGAGAGGAUCUGCCCUUAGUACGAGAGGACCGGGGUGGACUUACCGCUGGUGUACCAGUUGUUCCGCCAGGAGCACCGCUGGGUAGCUAUGUAGGGAAGGGAUAAGCGCUGAAAGCAUCUAAGUGCGAAGCCCACCUCAAGAUGAGAUUUCCCAUUCUUUAUGAAUUAAGAGCCCUGAGAGAUGAUCAGGUUGAUAGGCUGGAAGUGGAAGUCCUGCGAGGGAUGGAGCGGACCAGUACUAAUAGCUCGAGGACUUUACCAA
rnacentral:rRNA from 1 species